GAUACAUAGGAACCUCCUCACAAAGGAUUCUAUGGACAGUCGAUGCAGGGAGGCGUGAACUCCCUGCAUCGGCGAUUUU
rnacentral:antisense_RNA from 1 species